CACUAGUAGCACGAUUUCAGUCUGAAACGGUCAUUUUGGUCUGACCAUAUCUUAAUCGACUGGAUUUACCGCUAGAGAAAAACGUCAAGACUUUUAAGAACUUUUCAGACGCCGUUUCGAUCGAUAGUCGCAUCAGGUAAAUCAGUCCGUUAAGGCAUGUCAAGAUAAACAAGACUCAAUCUUCUAGCGAGCUGUUAAGAUCCGUUACGACUGAUUCAGUCGAAAUCAGACCAUGGAUACAAAAUUACGUCAAGAUGUUGUCAGACUGUGUUCAGUCGUGUUCAGAUUUUAAUAAUUUGGACACAAAACGAGUGAAACUUUCCCAGUGUGUAUCAGGGGUUGCUCCCCUUCAAGAGUGAAAUACAAAUUAGAAAGAAGACGGUUUAUGUUAUUUUGAUAGUUUACCAAGUCUACUUAAUUAAAAAAAAUAAAACAAUUUCGAUUCUUACUUUUUCGUAUAUAAUUAUUAAACAUGUUUUAUAUUAAAAAAAAUAUAUUGUUGUUGUUGUUUAUUUAAUCAUUUUGCAAUCGUGUUUGACUUGUGCAUUCGACUUUCCUAAAGGUAUCUUUUAUUUUUUUAUUCUGUCUAUUUAGAGUCUUUUAUAACUUGUUUUACAUACCAGAAGCCUUCGUUUAAAAAUAGAGUUUAUAUAUUAUUGGAGAUGAUGGUUUAUGAAUUCAUAAUUUCAAAUUUAUAUUUGAAAUAUAUUUGAUAAAUUAUCAUGAUGAUUAUGCGGAAGUGAAAAUGUUCCGUCGGUGUAUGUGAAGUAAAUUUAAAGAAUAUGACUUAGUUACAUAUAUUAUACAGCAUAAUAAAACUGGUUUAAUUUGAAUUACUAUCCAUUAGGGACAUUUUCCGAUAAUAAUUAAUCAAAUCUGUCAAGUUUUAUUAAAAACGGAAAACAAUUCUUCACCCGUAAACGAUUUAACGUUACUGUACCCACUUUAUUUUUGUUGCAUUCUGUCGGCGGAAAAGCAGGUCGGCAAACUAUAUUUUACUUAAAAUCGUAGAAGGGAAACUUACAGUACAAUAUAAGCUGCUCUGAAUAUUGCAAUCGAAUUCACAUUAGUUUGAGCAUGAUUCCCAGCCAGAUUAUGAAGCCGGCAUAUACAUGGUAUAGGAAAUAUAUAUAGAUGUCACUAAGUAACUCUCAUAGCUGCUAAUUGUGAAACAGUG